CCAAGGAGUCUAACACGUGCGCGAGUCAUUGGGUUCUAAACUAAACCUAAAGGCGCAGUGAAAGCAAAUGUGUCCAAGGCUUGACCCUGGACUUUCGAGAUGAUGGAGGUGUCCCAAUGUGGCCCUCCCGCAGUCUCGGGGCGAUCCGUGCUGCUCUGCAGCUGCGAUCGCACCUGGAGCGCACGUGUUGGGACCCGAAAGAUGGUGAACUAUGCCUGGUCAGGACGAAGUCAGGGGAAACCCUGAUGGAAGUCCGAAGCGAUUCUGACGUGCAAAUCGAUCGUCGGAGCUGGGUAUAGGGGCGAAAGACCAAUCGAAUCAUCUA
rnacentral:rRNA from 1 species